rnacentral:lncRNA from 10 species
UGGGUUUCCAACUGUGGCAAGUAGCGGCUUCUCCCCACAUCCCUGGGCUGGACCCCAGGCCCCUGCAUACUGGGCACAGCCAGGACCCCCCGACCCCAGGGCCUGUGCUUCUAGGAAGAGGGGGAAAAUUGAAUUUGUGGGGAGUGGCAGGCAGGGAAAAUUGUGGAUAUGAUAGGAAGCUUGUGAAGACUGUUGGGAAAGUGCUCAGUGGACAGUGCAAAGCAGAAGAGAACAGGGAUUUGGGGAUCAGAAAGCUUGGGUUCCAGACCAGGCUCUGCUGCUUUCUAAUCUUAUGAGCUUGGGAAAGUCAUAGAGCUUGUCAAACCUACUCGCUCACCUUGGAAGAAGGCUCAGAAGCCCUGCCUCACAGAGUGGAUGUGCAGGUUAUCUGGGCUCUUUCUGUGACCUGGGAUUUUACACUCCCCUUCAGUGCAGACACCAAGACAGGAUGGACAAUACAGAGGAUUUUACUAGGGGAAACAUCUGUGAGAUAAAAAUGGGGAGGGAGCUGGUAGAGGCUAGAAGAGAGGAAAGGCUGGGAGAGCCAUCACACCUUGAUGCAAGUCUGACCUAAGUGCAGGAGGGAGGGAAGCAAGUUUGGGUGGAAGCUCCUAGACUGCCUAUAGCAAGGCCAUCAGAGAGUCCUCAAGCCAAAGUCACCUAUCAGAGAAGUUCCCUGUUUCUUGGAGACAGGUCUGCCUUAGUAUCCCUGCCACACUCAGUUGCUGAUUGUCUAGAAGCAGCCAACAGGAAGAGUGGCCUCUACAUAAAUAUGGGUGCAAGCAGCUGGAGGCCAUGAUCAACUGAACUCUCUCUUCAGGAGACAUAUUCUUAUGGCCACCACACCUACCCAAUCCUGAUGUCUUUUGCUUGAACAUCCACAUCAGCCUCCUUCCUUGGUUCACAAUGACAGUCCAACUUCUGCCAGUCCUGACUGUCAUUCAAGCCUUUUUGCUAUUUAAGAAUUUUGAGGAAGAAAACCGUCAUGUACUCAAAAUCCUGGUAAUCAGAAGUGUCUGGAGAUUUCGAGCUGUUAACAUAGAGAGGUGGCAAAAUUAUUUUCUGGGAUAUCCUUAUGGGCCUGAAUGGCAGCGGGAGUCGACAUAGCUGGUGCCUGGGCAGGUUUCCAAAGCACAGCCGAGGUGGAGAGUAGGUGAGGGCUGCAACAAAGGUCCCGACAUCUGAAGAGCACUGCACAGUUUGUCAGAGGAUUUCAGCUCCACACUCUCACUUAGUCCUCACAGCAACCCCAUGCAGUGACUGCUGUCACUUCUUUUCAUGGCUGAGAAGACUGUUGGGAGAGGAAAAAUGAAUUGCCCACUGGCAGGCAGGUAAGAGGCACAGCUGAAACUCUCACCUAGUUCUUCUGACUCCAAGCCCAUCAUCUCAGGAUUGUACCCAAGUGGCUCUUGCACCAGUAUCAGCGCCAAUGGCAGGGUCAGCAGAAAAUAGCAGAGGGGCCUGAAAACAGAUGGGAACAUCUGGAAAAGGCAGUGGGGAGCUGUUGAGAGCAUUUUGAGUGGGGCAGUGACACUGCUGGCUCUGCAUUUUGGAAAGGUGGUUUUCAGAGCAGUUUGGAUGAUGCUGGGGAGUAGCUGACAGGUUGAAGAUCAGUCCUGAGGAGCAGGGCUGAGGAAACCGGCUUGCCUGCAGGCUGGUCGUUCCAGGGGGUUCCUUUGAAAACUUCCUGCGG